rnacentral:rRNA from 1 species
AACGUAGGUGGCGAGCGUUAUCCGGAUUCACUGGGCGUAAAGCGCACGCAGGCGGCCCGGAAAGUAGGGCAUGAAAUCUCCUGGCUUAACUGGGAGAGGUUGUCCUAUACUGCCGGGCUUGAGGAUGGGAGAGGGAAGUGGAACUGCCGGUGUAGUGGUGAAAUGCGUAGAGAUCGGCAAGAACACCAGUGGCGAAGGCGGCUUCCUGGCCCAUUCCUGACGCUCAGGUGCGAAAGCUAGGGGAGUGAAC